rnacentral:rRNA from 1 species
AACGGCCGCGGUAUAUUGACCGUGCAAAGGUAGCAUAAUCAUUAGUCUUUUAAUAGAAGGCUGGAAUGAAAGGUUUAACGAGAAAUUAUCUGUCUCAAUUACAAACUUGAAUUUAUCUUUUAAGUCAAAAGACUUAAAUGUAAUUGAAGGACGAGAAGACCCUAUAGAGCUUUACAUUCUUAUUUUAUGAAUUUAUGUAGUUUAUAAUUUUAAUUUAUUUUAAAGAUUGUUUUGUUGGGGUGACAAUAAAUAUAAAAUCAACUUUUAUCAUAUUAUAAACAUUAAUACAUGAUUUUAUGGAUCCAAAAUUUUUGAUCAUUAGAUUAAGUUACCUUAGGGAUAACAGCGUAAUCUUCCUCCAGAGUUCAUAUUUACGGGAAGGGUUGCGACCUCGAUGUUGGAUUAAGAUAAUAAUUAGGUGCAGCAGCUUAAUUGAUAGGUCUGUUCGAC